AUUGACGUUGGAUUACCAGUGAGCGGCGGACGGGUGAGUAACACGUGGGCAACCUGCCCUGAAGCGGGGGAUAACAUCUGGAAACAGGUGCUAAUACCGCAUAACAACGAAAACCACAUGGUUUUCGUUUCAAAGAUGGUUUCGGCUAUCACUUCAGGAUGGGCCCGCGGUGCAUUAGCUAGUUGGUAAGGUAACGGCUUACCAAGGCAAUGAUGCAUAGCCGAGUUGAGAGACUGAUCGGCCACAAUGGAACUGAGACACGGUCCAUACUCCUACGGGAGGCAGCAGUAGGGGAUCUUCCACAAUGGGCGCAAGCCUGAUGGAGCAACACCGCGUGAGUGAAGAAGGGUUUCGGCUCGUAAAGCUCUGUUGUUGGAGAAGAACGUGCGUGAGAGUAACUGUUCACGCAGUGACGGUAUCCAACCAGAAAGUCACGGCUAACUACGUGCCAGCAGCCGCGGUAAUACGUAGGUGGCAAGCGUUAUCCGGAUUUAUUGGGCGUAAAGCGAGCGCAGGCGGUUGCUUAGGUCUGAUGUGAAAGCCUUCGGCUUAACCGAAGAAGGGCAUCGGAAACCGGGCGACUUGAGUGCAAAAGAGGACAGUGGAACUCCAUGUGUAGCGGUGGAAUGCGUAAAUAUAUGGAAGAACACCAGUGGGCGAAGGCGGGCUGUCUGGUCUGCA
rnacentral:rRNA from 1 species